rnacentral:rRNA from 1 species
GACGAACGCUGGCGGCGUGCUUAACACAUGCGAGUCGAACGGUAAGGCUCCAGCUUGCUGGGGUACACGAGUGGCGAACGGGUAAGUAACACGUGGGUGACCUGCCCUGCACUUCGGGAUAAGCCUGGGAAACUGGGUCUAAUACCGGAUAGGACCGCACCGUGAGGGUGUGGUGGAAGGUUUUUUCGGUGUGGGAUGGGCCCGCGGCCUAUCCGCUUGUUGGUGGGGUAAUGGCCUACCAAGGCGGCGACGGGUAGCCGGCCUGGGAGGGUGGACGGCCACAUUGGGACUGAGACACGGCCCAGACUCCUACGGGAGGCAGCAGUGGGGAAUAUUGCACAAUGGGCGGAAGCCUGAUGCAGCGACGCCGCGUGGGGGAUGACGGCCUUCGGGUUGUAAACUCCUUUCACCAUCGACGAAGGGUUUCUGACGGUAGAUGGAGAAGAAGCACCGGCUAACUACGUG